rnacentral:rRNA from 1 species
UUAAGCAUAUMAUAAGCGGAGGAAARGAAACUAACCCAGGAKUKCYUCMGKRGCKKCGAGKGAAGCKGGAAGAGCCCAGCACCGAAUCGCACGUCUUUUGGACGUCGCGAACUGUGGUGUUCAGGACCAGCGCAUGCGCGUCGGUCCGGCGUCCGAGUCCUCCUGAUCGGGGCUUUGCCAGAGCGGGUGUCAGCCCUCUACGGCGCCGGUAUCGACGUGCCCGCCACGUCCUCGGAGUCGGGUUGUUUGAUAAUGCAGCCCAAAGUGGGUGGUAAACUCCAUCUAAGGCUAAAUACGGACACGAGUCCGAUAGCGAACAAGUACCGUGAGGGAAAGUUGAAAAGAACUUUGAAGAGAGAGUUCAACAGUACGUGAAACCGUUUAGAGGCAAACGGAGAGGACCGCAAAGUCCGCUCGUCGGAUUCAACCUGUCGGCCGUUCGGCCCGUCCGUCGUCGCAUCCGCAAGGGGCGCGACGGACGGUCGUCUGGGCGGUCGACGGGUGCACUUUCGGCGGGCGGAGCGCCACGACCGGUUCGUCGGCGGUCAGAAGCCCUCGGGGAAGGUGGCCGAUUCCGCAAGGUUUCGGUGUUAUAGACCCGGGCGGCGUUGGCCCGCUGACGGACCGAGGAAGACUGCAUCGCGCGGUCGGUUGCGGCUCUGCUGCUCCGUGCGUCCGUUCGAACUGCGGGGACUGUCGUCAGUGCCCGCUAGCCGCGAGCGUACGGCGGUGGUGGAUGUCCGCGGCCGACUCGGGGUCGGUGGCGAAUCGGUCGGUUACCUGUCCGACCCGUCUUGAGUGACGUUACAAACCUGGUGCACGUUAAAGUUGGAGACAAGUGAGUUGGUGGAGGCGACGAAGGACGCAAGCUUCUGUCAGCUUUCUUCACAUGUUCAGCACAGUCCACCUUUUCGACCGGUCGCUUUUGCCAACCUCGCAGNUGGG